CGUCAGGACGAACGCUGGCGGCGUGCCUAAUACAUGCAAGUCGAGCGGACAGAUGGGAGCUUGCUCCCUGAUGUCAGCGGCGGACGGGUGAGUAACACGUGGGUAACCUGCCUGUAAGACUGGGAUAACUCCGGGAAACCGGGGCUAAUACCGGAUGCUUGAUUGAACCGCAUGGUUCAAUUAUAAAAGGUGGCUUUUAGCUACCACUUACAGAUGGACCCGCGGCGCAUUAGCUAGUUGGUGAGGUAACGGCUCACCAAGGCAACGAUGCGUAGCCGACCUGAGAGGGUGAUCGGCCACACUGGGACUGAGACACGGCCCAGACUCCUACGGGAGGCAGCAGUAGGGAAUCUUCCGCAAUGGACGAAAGUCUGACGGAGCAACGCCGCGUGAGUGAUGAAGGUUUUCGGAUCGUAAAACUCUGUUGUUAGGGAAGAACAAGUACCGUUCGAAUAGGGCGUACCUUGACGGACCAACCAG
rnacentral:rRNA from 1 species